rnacentral:tRNA from 1 species
GGAAAGUUGGUAGAGUGGUUUAUUACAUCGGUCUUGAAAACCGACAAUCGGAAACGAUUCAAGGGUUCAAAUCCCUUACUUUCCUCCA